GCCAAGUUCUAGAUAGCUGCUUGAGUGACAUUUUUGUGAGACAUGAACAAAGGUAUCCAGUCCCAGGAAAGUGCUGUGGUGGGCAAAAACCUCUGGACACAUCAACAGAACCAGGAACAAGAUAAGAGUUGGCAGGAGGGUAAGAUCAAAGCUGAUGAAAUCCAGAUCUCUAAAGAACUGAAUUGCCUCAUGUAUUUUUGUUCAUCACAAAGAAAAUAAACAAAACCAAAACCAG